CUCUCCCCAUUCUGCCAAGCGAGAGCUCUCUCUCAAUCGGGCGGCGAAGAAACCUCCAUACGUGGCACAAUCACUCUCGAUUUCCCUCUCUUAGCAUUGAUUCUGAUUGGAAGUUUGUUACUGGAUUUUAGGAAGGAAUUGGAAUUUUGUAGAGAUUAUUGUAAGUGUUGUUUGUGUAUAUCUUGUUUUGAGUUGUUCUUGUUCCAUUUUUUUCAGGAUUAUUUGGGUAAUUUUUGCUGUAUGAUUCUGUUAUCUUGAGAAAUCUAAUAUUUGAAGUAGGACUGAGUCUGAAUUUUAGAGAUUUCUUUUUUUUUUUUUUUUGAUUCUUUAGUGGGUUUGAAAAUUUUGAGAAUGGCAACUAAUUUCUGAACACAACCUGUUUGUUAGAUGACUCCUUUCUUUCUACUUCUGGUAUUAUGGUAGUAUAGCUUUUUGUUGUUGUAUUACUGAAACUUGGAGGAAAGGGUGCAUCUAUCUGUAAGGUGGUGUAAAUAGUGUGAUUGCAUGUUUUGUAUUAGUGUAAAGGGUGUCUGUAGUUUUUAGACCAUUUUUUUGUUUUUGUUUUUAUUUUUUGUGUAUGAUUUGCAAUAGAGGAUUUCCAAGACUAUUUUCUCAAGUAUAGAUGGAAAGGCAAUUUGUGGCACAUGUGCCACUGCCUGGAUCAAUAAAGAGGAAUGACCCAUGCAGGGCUAGCCACCAAACAUGGAACAUCAUUAAUAGCUUUGACCAUCAUUGGUUUAAAAUGGAGCCACACCCACAUUGGUACUUUUCUUCAUUGUAGGUGAGUUUAUGUGGUUAGUUACACUCUUUUCAGGUGAUUACGCUAUAGUACCGGGCACUAGAAAUCCUCCUUGGAUCCUAACAUUACUCCUGUUGAUGUGUGCUAGAAAAGCGAGAAGCUGCAAGGAGACUGCAGGAUUUGUGGAAUGGGAUUGAAAUACAGCCAUAGUUGUAUGUAUUGUCAUCUAGAAAAAGAAAAAGAUCAACAAAAUGAGACUAGACCAAAAUGAAACGACAACUAGCCAAACACUUUACUGCACUUUUGUGUGGCCACUUUGAAUCAGUGGGUCACCUGGUAGAGGCAUCUGUUCAAUUAUUCGUGACAGAUCACUGUAGUUGGCUUGAAAGAUGCAUUUGUUUGAUUAUGUUUUGGGGAAUUUCUUUUCUUCAUGUCUUUUCUUUC